AGGCGGCGACGGGUGAGUAACACGUGGACAAUCUGCCCCCGGCCCGGGAUAGCCCAGGGAAACCUGGAUUAAUACCGGAUGAGACGGGACCCGCGAUGGCGGGAUCCGGGAAAGGCGCUGCGGCGCCGCCGGGGGGAUGAGUCUGCGUCCCAUUAGCUAGACGGCGGGGUAACGGCCCACCGUGGCGACGAUGGGUAGCCGGCCUGAGAGGGUGGACGGCCACAUUGGAACUGAGACACGGUCCAGACUCCUACGGGAGGCAGCAGCUAAGAAUCUUCCGCAAUGGGCGAAAGCCUGACGGAGCCGACGCCGCGUGAACGAAGAAGGCCGUGAGGUUGUAAAGUUCUUUUCGGGAGGGGAAACAACCGUGGCAGGGAAUGGCCGCGGGAUGACGUGAAUCCCGGAAUAAGCCCCGGCUAACUACGUGCCAGCAGCCGC
rnacentral:rRNA from 1 species